CCCCUUCUUCUUCCCAAGAGUCCUAGCGCUCGGCGAACCUGCGCCAGUGCCUGAGCGCGCUUGGAGUAUUUCUGCGCAUGCGCUGCUGCUGCUUAGGUCGCGAAAGUACAGUUGGUCCACUCCGAGAGCAUUCCGCGUCGCCUCCUAGCGGAUCGGAGUUCGGAACGCUUUUGUGACCUCUUCGCUCCUUCCCAGUAUACUAAAGUACAAGGUUCCUUGCGCCUAGCGCAGUAGAAAUAACCUCUGCAAGCUUUUUGUUUAGGCAGAAAUAUGAAGCUGAGGCACACACCUAAGACGUACAGUGUUGGCAACAGACCUGUGCAGACUUAGUAAAGUUUUGUCACUCUUCUGGUUACAGUUGCUAGUUAAAAUAGUUUUGUGUUAAUUUAAAUAUGAAUUUCAGUUGAAUCCCACCCUCUACCCCCCUUUCGUUACUGGGGAUUGAACUCAAGGCUUUGGCACAGAGCUCUUUAUUAUCCGCAGCUCUUUAUUUUUUGACAGAGUCUCGAUAAAUUGCCCAAACUGGGUUUGAAUGUGUGAUCCUCCCACCUCAGCCUCACAGAGUGUUGGGAUUACAGGUGUGUCCCACCAUGCCCGUCUCCAUACAAUACUGUCAAUAUCUCAUUCUGUGAAGAAGAAAAAAAAGUCUAAAGCGUGGAAAUAGGCAAAUGAGAUUACUGGAUGUUUUUUCAGUGCUGUCCUGGGGUUGAUUUUCUGUUGACUGGUUUACAACCCAGGCCAAGAUGGAGUUAAUGAUUUAGAGGAAACAGGGCAGAGGCAGAGACUAGCUGAAGUCGUGAAAGGAAUGUGCGGUUGCAGGCAGCUGCAUUAUGUGUCCUUAUGAUUUUGGUUGAUCUGCUAAAAUGACAGUUUCAUAACAGUUCUCAGUGGCUAGAGAUGAAGAGGCUUCUCUGUAACGCUGAAAAGACGCCGCACCCGCGUACAAAUCCGCUACUACUCCACCUUGUGUUGCAGGCUCUGCGGAGGAGGAGCUCUGGUUAAUGUGUGAACUGAUUCCUUGCCUCACAGUUACGUCCACAUUGAGUAUCCAGUGCCCUGCCAAUGACUGGUCUACAGAUCUUCAUCUCCUUUUGGAAGUGCAUUGUUGUUUAUGUCUUUGCCUGGUCCUAAUGUUUUUGUUGGUUCAAAGGAGUUGUCCAAAAUGACACAAUAGUAAACAGUCGUGGUAAUCGUAUUAAUCAGAUGCAGCACUGUUUUCAUAUUGUCGCUUUCUCCCCAUGCUUAGUCCAUUGCUUCCAUCUUCACCUUCAAUGCUAACUUCUGUGUUGGAGAAGUCACACUUCGUGAUGAGCUGCUGGUAUCUGUCAGGGCUGCAUAGCUCAGGACUGCCCGGCUGCAGCCAGCUGUGCCUCUGGCGAGACUGGUGGUGUGAACCUGUGGGACAUGUGCCGCAGAGGCUGCUCGCUGUCAUCGGAGGCUCUGACAGGUUUGGGCUGGGCUUGCUAUUAUGUAUCUUUUAGUACAAUAAUUUUAUGUUUAUUAAUGCUCCUUAUAGUCU